rnacentral:ncRNA from 1 species
CAAAAUCUGAGUUUGAUCCUGGCUCAGAAGGAACGCUAGAUAUAUGCUUAACACAUGCAAGUCGAACGUUGUUUUCGGGGAGCUGGGCAGAAGGAAAAGAGGCUCCUAGCUAAAGUUGUCUCGCCCUGCUUCAAAACUACAGGGCGCGCGCUACGGCUUUGACCUAACAGCCUCCAUUUGCUGGAAUCGGAAUAGUUGAGAACAAACUGGCAAACGGGUGUGUAACGCGUGGGAAUCUGCUGAACAGUUCGGGCCAAAUCCUCAAGAAAGCUCAAAAGCGCUGUUUGAUGAGCCUGCGUAGUAUUAGGUAGUUGGUCAGGUAAAGGCUGACCAAGCCAAUGUGUCACAUCCCCAGUUCAGGCCUUGCUUGUUUUUGCUUUAGCAUCCAUGCAUCAUGUUUAAAUUUUAUGAAACUUGAAAUGGGGGCUGAUAAACCCUAGCAGCUAAUGAAAUCAACUAGGUUCAAAAAAAAUCAUUUUCAAUGAACCCAAAAUGCCUUUGGAAAAGUUCAUCAUUUUUGAAUUGGUCUAGAACCCCUGCCAAAAAUGGUGCACAUUUUUUUCUAGGCCACUUUGGAUUUUUGAAUUAAAUCAUAAAGUAUUUGAAUUUGGGCAUUUAAAUGUUAUAAAUAUUUUAUUUGCCCAAAUAAUUCUGAUAAUGGUUGAGGGCUGUUGAAAACCAUUUCAACAUUUCCCACAAUUUAUUUCAGGAUUUUUAGAUAAGGUUUAGUAUUUUUACUAAAUCCAGAAACAAAGA